GACGAACGCUGGCGGCGUGCUUAACACAUGCAAGUCGAGCGGAAAGACCCUGAUUUUGCGGGUCGGUCGAUAGGCGAAGGGGUGAGUAACACGUGAGUAACCUGCCCUUGAAUUAGGGGGAACUUCACGAAACUGGGGCUAAUACAGGAUAGGAGCUCCUGCUGCAUGGUGGUGAAUGGAAAAUUUCGGCGGUGGGGGAUCGACUCGCGGCUUAUCAGCUUGUUGGUGGGGUAGGUGAUUUCCAAGGCUUUGACGGGUAGCCGGCAUGAGAGGGUGACCGGGCACAGUGGGACUGAGAUAGGGACCAGACUCCUACGGGAGGCAGCGGUGGGAAAGAUGGCGCAAUGGGCGGGCGCGUGAUGCAGCAGCGCCGCGUGCGGGAUGACGGCCUACGGGUUGUAAACCGAUUUCGCCUGUAACGAGGAGUGAGUGACGGUAACGAGUAAAAAAGCACCGGCUAACUACGUG
rnacentral:rRNA from 1 species